rnacentral:lncRNA from 1 species
GUGCCUCUUCUUAUCCUGUCAACAAAGAAGACAAAUCUAAGCACAGAUACUGAGUCAACUAUAAAGAUGAACAAAGCAACACGCAGACUCCUCCCCGACUUAUUUCUCAGUUUACUCACCAGAUCAGAAGCAAGCAGUAACGCUCCAGAGGCGAUAAAUACCACACUCAGCGACCUGCUUUACCUUGUCCGCCGCCCCCUUUAACGCUUUGCUCCAGCUUAAGCUUCUCUUCCAGCCACCUCGAAGCCAUGCCGUAGACCCCUUUGAUGGGAUCCACGGCGUCUGGCUCGUCCACUACCCUAUCGCCCGCCUGACGCAACCUCUCCCUCGCCAUCAUCUUGAGGUAGCAGGAGUGUACGCCAUCCAUGUUCUCCUUCAACCACGACGUGCCGUCCAGUCCCGAUUGAUCCAUCAUGAUCAUGAUCUCCGAAACAACAUCGCCAACGGUGGCCGACACGUUCCUGAAGAUGUCUUCGCUUCCUCGAGGGAGAUCGCUGUUGGAGCUCCUGCUCCUCCCGAGCUGUGGCUGCGCAGGAACCGUGUUCCUGGGGAAGACCGGCGCCCGACACGCCAACUCGGUGGCGUUGCCGAC